rnacentral:rRNA from 1 species
UACGGAAUGUGCAAACGUUAUUCGGAAUCACUGGGCUUAAAGAGUCCGUAGGCGGCAUGUUAGGUGAGGUGUGAAAUCCCCCGGCUCAACCGAGGAAUUGCGCUUCAAACCGGCGUGCUCGAGGAAGAUAGAGGUGGGCGGAACUGAUGGUGGAGCGGUGAAAUGCGUUGAUAUCAUCAGGAACACCGGAGGCGAAGGCGGCCCACUGGGUCUUUUCUGACGCUGAGGGACGAAAGCUAGGGGGGCGAACGGG